rnacentral:rRNA from 1 species
GACGAACGCUGGCGGCGUGCUUAACACAUGCAAGUCGAACGGAAAGGCCCUGCUUUUGUGGGGUGCUCGAGUGGCGAACGGGUGAGUAACACGUGAGUAACCUGCCCUUGACUUUGGGAUAACUUCAGGAAACUGGGGCUAAUACCGGAUAGGAGCUCCUGCUGCAUGGUGGGGGUUGGAAAGUUUCGGCGGUUGGGGAUGGACUCGCGGCUUAUCAGCUUGUUGGUGGGGUAGUGGCUUACCAAGGCUUUGACGGGUAGCCGGCCUGAGAGGGUGACCGGCCACAUUGGGACUGAGAGACGGCCCAGACGCCUACGGGAGGCAGCAGUGGGGAAUAUUGCACAAUGGGCGGAAGCCUGAUGCAGCAACGCCGCGUGCGGGAUGACGGCCUUCGGGUUGUAAACCGCUUUCGCCGGUGACGAAGCGUGAGUGACGGUAAUGGGUAAAGAAGCACCGGCUAACUACGUG